rnacentral:rRNA from 1 species
AUACGGAGGGUGCAAGCGUUAAUCGGAAUUACUGGGCGUAAAGCGCGCGUAGGCGGUUAUUUAAGUCAGAUGUGAAAGCCCUGGGCUCAACCUGGGAACUGCAUUUGAAACUGGGUAACUAGAGUUUGGUAGAGGGUAGUGGAAUUCCGGGUGUAGCGGUGAAAUGCGUAGAUAUCCGGAGGAACACCAGUGGCGAAGGCGGCUACCUGGACCAGAACUGACGCUGAGGUGCGAAAGCGUGGGGAGCAAACAGGAUUAGAUACCCCAGUAGUCC